GAUGAACGCUAGCGACAGGCCUAAACAUGCAAGUCGAGGGGCAGCACGGUGUAGCAAUACACGGGUGGCGACCGGCGCACGGGUGAGUAACGCGUAUGCAACCUGCCUACUACAAGGGGAUAACCCGUUGAAAGACGGACUAAUACCCUAUAACACAGGGAAUCCGCAUGGAUAUAUUUGUUAAAGAUUUAUCGGUAGUAGAUGGGCAUGCGUUCCAUUAGCUUGUUGGUGAGGUAACGGCUCACCAAGGCAACGAUGGAUAGGGGAACUGAGAGGUUGAUCCCCCACACUGGAACUGAGACACGGUCCAGACUCCUACGGGAGGCAGCAGUGAGGAAUAUUGGUCAAUGGACGAGAGUCUGAACCAGCCAAGUCGCGUGAAGGAAGACGGCCCUACGGGUUGUAAACUUCUUUUGUAAGGGAAUAAAUAGUCUUACGCGCUAAGACGUUGCAGGUACCUUACGAAUAAGGAUCGGCUAACUCCGUG
rnacentral:rRNA from 1 species